rnacentral:rRNA from 1 species
AGUGAACGCUGGCGGUAGGCCUAACACAUGCAAGUCGAACGGCAGCACAGUAAGAGCUUGCUCUUACGGGUGGCGAGUGGCGGACGGGUGAGGAAUACAUCGGAAUCUACUUUUUCGUGGGGGAUAACGUAGGGAAACUUACGCUAAUACCGCAUACGACCUACGGGUGAAAGCAGGGGAUCUUCGGACCUUGCGCGAUUGAAUGAGCCGAUGUCGGAUUAGCUAGUUGGCGGGGUAAAGGCCCACCAAGGCGACGAUCCGUAGCUGGUCUGAGAGGAUGAUCAGCCACACUGGAACUGAGACACGGUCCAGACUCGUACGGGAGGCAGCAGUGGGGAAUAUUGGACAAUGGGCGCAAGCCUGAUCCAGCCAUACCGAGUGGGUGAAGAAGGCCUUCGGGUUGUAAAGCCAUUUUGUUGGGAAAGAAAAGCAGCAGGUUAAUACCCCGCUGUUCUGACGGUACCCAAAGAAUAAGCACCGGCUAACUUCGU